UACAAAACAGUAUUUGUUUAGAUUAAAAGCAAAUCAGUCCACAUUCAGAUCGGUACUAGAUACCUACGAAUGUAUUUAAACCUUUGCAGUUCGACGGUAUGAAAUUUAGUAUACCUGCGACAAUUUUCCAAGGAACACAAUUUUUUUAUUUAUAAAAAGUUUCAGAGGAUCAAAAUAAUAUCUGCAGUUUUCUUCAAAAGUUGAUUGCCAUUUCCAGCGGGCGAAUUUAAAAUCAUAUCCUGAAUGGUAUGUUGAAACCCGAGCAAAAAUGUAUAGAGUGUACAUUUUAAUCGUCAUAUUGGUUAUUGGUUUGUGUUACAUGUCGGCUCGGGACACCAGGCAGCCCCAUAAGAACUCGCCAGAUCUAAUUGCAUACCUUAGAGAGGCUGUUAAAACAGAGAAUGAAAUGUUUAGUUCCGAAGACCUUCCACAGAAACCGAAAAUGCCAAAUAAAUGAUUUUGCAAAUUGUA